GGGAGUUGAUUCGGAAGUGAAGGGCCCUGGGCGACCCGGCGAGUAGAGGCAACACCAACACUCCUCCUUAGCGAGGGGUCUCCCCGCCGCGGUGGCUGCCCGGCCCCAAGGACAGGAGGGAUUUGUGCACUGACUCCUGAGCCCGUCCUCCAGCGCUGCUCUGAAGGGAGAGUCUGUGCAGUGGCACCUGCGCGAAGCUGGCGAAAGCCUGCCCAGACUGCUCACCUGUGCGGGAUGGAACAAAAGAAUUUCGCUCUUGUUGCCCAGUGUUGCCCAGGCUGGAGUGCAAUGGCACGAUCUCAGCUCACCACAACCUCCGCCUCCUGGGUUCAAGUGAUUCUCCUACCUCAGCCUCCUGAGUAGCUGGGAUUACAGGUCGGCUUGAGGUUUGCGAGUCCCAGCUCCCACGGCCCCUGCCACCUGCCUUUCCCUUCUCAGGACAUACACAGGACUGGGAGAAAAUAGACUAAGUAUUUGAUAUUACA
rnacentral:antisense_RNA from 1 species